CUAGCAUUUGGGUGGUUAGUUUCCUUGAUCACAUCUUCGUGGCUCAAUUGAGAAGCAACAAAUUUGUCAAGCACUCUCCAGUCUGUGACUUGAUCAACUGCUUGCUCAUGAUUGCUGUUGUUGUUACCAUAGAUGGCCAUAUGCAGCAUUGAUGGAAUUGCAACUUAAUGUAGGAGCCGAUUGCAGAAGUUUAGGACUUUGUAGAAGUGGGAGCUGGAGGAAGUGAUCAUGAGGGAUUUGGUACUGAAAAUCCAGCUCUUUCUUGCAGGAGUAAGGGAAUUGAUAACCUAAGUCAGGCUGGAAGUUUUGCUUUGGUGAAUCCAAGUCAUGCAUGAAUGCAACUUGAUCAUCAUACCAGCAAACUGAUUCAUGCUCACUCACUUUUGGCAUCGUUGGUAUUCUCUUCUUGAACACCCUGCACACAACCCAACCUUCUUCCUGCAACAAAAUUACAUAUAAAAAAAAACUUUCACACUUGAAAAAAAUUGUGCAGCUAUGGUUAAGACUUAAAAAUUAAUGGCUUGCAAGAAAACACUAAAUGAAGAAAUUUUUAUGAUUAUACUUGCCUGUGGAGUCCCAUUUUCAUCUGUUUCAAGUCUGUACUCAUGCAUAAUCCAGUCCGAUUUCUGUCCAUUCGGAGCUCGACCUUUAUAAAAGACUAAGGUCUUCCUCAUUCCGAUCAAGUCGUGCUUCGAAUAAAUUGCCUUGUCUCUACCUGUUGCUUUCCAAAAUCCUGCAACAGUGGCUCUAUUUGUGCGAGUCCCAGUAGGAUACUUCUUAUCUUUGUGGCUAAAAAAGUACCAUUCAUUUUGCUCCUCGGUUCCUAUUCGGCACAGUUCUGUUUAUAUGCAAAAGAAACAUAUAAUAGUUAGUGAACUUUCAUGGUCUCCAAAUAUUCUUGAAAUAGGGUAUUUACAAGAAUUUUAUGCAGUACUACCUUGAAGAUCCCAUGGCUCAAUCUUGUAAAGCUCGACAUCCUUAAUGACAUCUAGGUCAAUCCUUCUUGAAUUUACUUUUUUUCUAAGGUAGUAAUGGACAAGUUCUUCAUCGGUAGGAUGGAAUCGAAAACCAGGAGGAACGUGUGUAAAAGAAUUCAUUUUCUGAUCCUGCUAGGCCUUGAGUCCUGCAAUCCAAUUAUCACGCCACAUUAGCAUGUGCAUAUUUUUAUCCAAUUAUCAAAUUUAUACAAGAAGAAAAUCCAUUUUCAUAA